CGCCAACAAUAGAGAUAACAGAGACUUUUAGCCUGGAAAAAGAAGGGCCUUCAACUCGAAGACGCAUGACGCUAGGUGGUGAAAGUCGUGAGGAAGCCACUAAGCUGAUUACCCUUCUUGCAACUAGGAGGAUUACCAUCAGUACAUGGAACGUGAGGACCAUGUAUGAGUCAAGAAAGAUGGCGCAGGUCACAGAACCAACAUCACUAGACAGGCAUUGCGGUGGAACCCCCAAGGCAAGUGGAAAAGAGGCCGUCCAAGAAACACUUGGCGACGCGACCUUCAGGCUGAUAGCAUAAAAAUGGGCUAUACCUGGAACCAGCUAGAGCAAAUGGCCCAGGAUAGAGGACUCUGGAGAUCUGUGGUUGGCGGCCCAUACCCCGAUUGGGGUGACGGGCAUGAGUGAGUGAGAGUAUUCUACUAGUACUAUAUUUGUUUAUCUGGCAGUGGUGGAAGUCACUAAGUUUGGAUUCAGAUCUGAACUGAAAUUUCUUCAAAAUUUGGGUGCAUUAGAGCUGGGAUUUUGGUUUAACUGGUUAUGAAAUAUGGGCGCGAACCACAAUGUUCAAAUAUGGUUGUGAACUUCUAAAAUGCUCCGUUGGUGGUUGGAUCUAGGGUAAGGGAGGCUACUCAGCUACUUACUCCCUCCCCAGAGGAAGUGGGUGGGAGAGAGAGAGCAAAGAAUGGGCACAAUCGUGGCUUCACCCCUGUUUCCUCUCCACAGUGUGCAUAUACACUCUCACUGGCCAGAGUAGCUGAGCCAUUAUGCAGUAGGUGCUGGUAUAGCCCAGCAGUAAAUUACUUUUCCUCAGGAAUAAGGUUGACGCAGUGGAGCAAUUCUGACUCAGAGGUGAACCUACCCCACCAUGAAAAAUAUUGCAAAGCUUGCCUCAAAACCUGGUGAAUUCCCAGGAAUCCUCUCUGUCUAAAGGCUCCAGCCCCCAGGGAGGGGCUCUGGAGAAAAGAUAAUACAGCCUUAGGAUAGGCUCCACAGAGCUGGAAGGGAGAAAGUGAGGAUUUCCCUAACGCUGUCCAGUUUCUGUUCCUGAUGUCCUCCACAGGGUCUGAAUGAGGGGGAAGGCAGUGCUGCCAAGGCAGCUAAACCUCAUUCUUUGGUGAAGAAGGAAGAUCUGCGUGUGAAGGGGUGAUCUAUGUGUCUGUUGGGUGUCCAAGUAUUUGAUGCAUUAUUUUGAACAAGCCUAAGUAUACACUUAGCAUCUCUAGCUGAAUAUGCCUCGACCAAGAAGGGAGGCUCAGUGUGCUAGCCACUGACAGUUCCUGCCCCCAAGAGCUUCCUUUGAGUAAAGGAAACAAGUAAGAGUAAAAAGAUUGUACAAAAACGCUCCCCAGAAACAAAGGUCAGUCAUUUGAAUUUUCUGUUGUAGCUCUAAUAUGUAGCUUUAUAUUAAUAAUGUGAAAUUCAUUGCCUCUAAAAAUAGCCUUUUCUCGUCAUGCACAGAUAAACAUUUAGUAGAACUACAUAAAUGAUUAAAAGAAAUUGUAUGAUUAAGAAUACCAUAAUUGGAUGGAGCAUGAUGAUCCAAGCAGCAUGAGCUUCACCCACAUAAAAAUACCUUCCCACCAAUGUAGAGAUGUGGUUUCAUCCUUUACUUUCUUAAGGAUUCGUUUGAUUUUAUCCACCGAAUGGUGGACCGUGAGAAGAGUCUUAAGACCUUCCAUUUUUAAGUUGUUGAUAUAAUAGAUGCACUUUCUUCCACAAAAGCACCAUUAGGGAUUGGUUGGCAAAAAUUCCUAGCAGAACAAGAGGCUAGAUGCUUUCCUCAACAGCUGAUCUUAAGUGUUGUCCGGGCAGAUGUUUCCCUUCCACGCUCUGAGUUGUGUGCUGUGAAACCAUUUGGUGACUCGUUUCUUCCCAGACUUUAAUUCCAGCUGGAAGCUGCAGUUCUUCUGGAGCCUUGGCAGCACAGAUGUGGUGUGUUGCAGGGAUUAGAAUACCUGCUUCUACGUGUUCAGCUUGAAUCAACAUCCUAUCAGUAACAGUAAUACAGCAUUGCAGCAAAUCUAUUGAGGAGAUAAUAAAAAUUGCAUAGAUCAUGAGAGAGACAAGAGCCCAGGAGGAGCCUCAGUCCUGACCCAUCUGAUCUUCCAGACCGUCUCUGUAAGGCUAAGGCCUUCGUCUGCAGCCAGUUUAAAAGAGCAGCCGAGCAGCAGCCAUUGGCUGAGAAGCAGGAAGUCACAUCCUCACAUUCCAUCUAAAUGACAUUAAAACAAUGUAAUAUCAGGCUGUUAAGAAGGAGACCCUGUGCUAAUAACACCCACUGUCACCAGAUAAAGAAACAGAUCUUCAGAUGGCUAAAGAAAACUUAGCUACCCUUGACACCGUUCUGUCUGUCAAGAAAUCACUAAUCAAUAGUUGUAAAAUCCUCAUUUCUUUAUUGUUUUGUCAUUAUGGUCCCCACUUCCCUAUUGUUCAUCUGUAUGGUCUCUGUAUGGUUCUUUAAUUGUUUCUGUCUGCUACAUAAUUAAUUUUGCUAGGUAUAAAUUAAUUAAUUAAGGUGGGGUAGAAUUGAUUAGAGAAUUUUGUUAUACUAUGUUAGGAUUGGUUAGAUAGAUUUCAGUAUAAUGAUUGGUUAAGGUACAGCUAAGCAGGACUCAAAUUUCACUGUAUAAACUGGGGUCCAAAAGGAAG